GGCAAGUUCUAGAAGAGCUUUCAGGACAGAAGAUAGUGUUGCAGAUAUUCUUGCUGGCUGGAGACUCAAUCUGGAAAAUACGAUCUGCCCCAAGAGGGUCCUCAGAAUGACGAGUAGAAAUUCCUCUGGUGGGAGCUGAGAGUCUGAAUUGAGCUGAUUUAGAGAAGAAACCAUGCAAUAUCUCUCACACGACCAUUUGUGCACAAAAGAAUAAGAAGUGUGGUAGUGGACAAGCGGCGACCUCCUGAGGUCAUACUGUUGUGAUGCUCGCUUCCGAGAUGUGGAAAUGGAGGCACUGAGAAGAGCAGCCCACAAUCACGAGGAGAGGAGACGAGAAGGCAUCGCCGAUAAAGGCAAGAGGAUGGAACUGUGGCAGACAGAGACAGGGAAAUUCUAUCUCUGAAAAGCCCAGUUACAAAAGCUCCAGUGAGCACGAAACUGAGGGCUGGAAAUGUGGCAAUAGUCUGGCUCCGUGCUCUCCGGAGCCAGCUGUGCGGUGACGACAUCUUCACCCUGUGUGGACGUGCCUGGGCUCCCCUGGGCUGGCUCAGCGGGGAGGGGCUUCGGGCCGCACGACCCCUUCCCCCGGCAGCUCUGCUCUCAACUGUUUCCAACUGUAUAUCAGAAUAAGAUUUCUUCCAAAGAAAGGGUGAUAGACACACACCCCCCAUGAAAAGAUUGGAACAUUUUGAAAAAAAUGUUUACCGAAAAUGUGCUCUCUGACUAAUGAACAGGAAGCCUGCUCUGAUGUUUCUGUAGGAAAACGGCAUAAGAACGUUUGCGCUUCCGGGGGAUCCGGUGAGAAGACUCGAGCGAGCGGUAAUUGCAUCUCGAUGGUUCUUCCUGAAGGUGGACAUCCAGAGUCCACGCUGCGUGGUGGGCCAGGAACCACUGCUGUCGUCUUCCCCACGCUGUGAGGUGUGAAUGUUUUGUAUGAAAGAGGAAAACCCUGUGGAGAAAGAAGGUGAGCCAGGAGACCGAGGAAAUCUAAUCCAGAAAAUAAUCUAGAAAGUUUGCCAAUGAAAGAAAUGAACGGAUGAGGCCAUUCGCUGGCCGCUCGUGUGGCUCCAUCUCCGGCACAUAGUUUUUUCCAUGUAUGAGAAAACAACGAUUAUAAACGUGUUGUUGGUUCUGGAAAUCAGCACAUUCUUGAGCCCAACGUGGGGUUUUUGGCCAACCUAGAGAAGCAGUUGAGGGAUGACCGACAACCUGCACCCACUGAGGGGCCCCUGAUCGCCGGGUCCACACGGCGUGCGCCCAGCGGACAGGCAGACCCACUAAUGUCAACUGGUCUUGGACAAAGGAGCAGAGGCAAUACAAGGCAGCAAGGACAGUCUUUUCAAAAGAUGCUGCUGGAAGAACUGGACAUCCACAUGCAAAAAAAAGAGAAAAGAAUCUAGACACAGACCUUACACUCUUCACAAAAAUUCACUCAAAAUCGGUCACAGAUCUAAAUAUAAAAUGCAAAACUAUAAAACUCCUAGAAGAUAACAUAAGAAAGCCUAGAUGACCUUGGGUAUGGAAAUGACUUUUUAGAUACAAUACCAAAGGCACAAUCCAUGACAGAAAUAAUUAAUUGAUAAGCUGGACUUCAUUAAAAUUAAAAACUUGUGCCCUGUGAAAGGCAAUGUCGAGAAUGAGAAGACAAGCUGCAGAGUGGGAGAAAAUAUUUGCAAAAGAUACGUCUGAUAAAGGGCUGUUAUCCAAAAUAUGUAAAGAACUCCUUAAACUCAACAAUAGGAAAACAAACAAUCCAAUUAAAAAAUGGACCAAAAACCUUAACAGACACUUCACCAAAAAAGAUACACAGAUGGCAAGUAAGUAGAUGAAAAGAUGCUCCACAUCAUAUGUCAUCGGGGAAUUGCAAAUUAAAACCACAGUGAGAUACCACUGCACGGCCAUUAGACUGGCCAAAAUCCGGAACUCUGACAACACCAAAUGCUGACAAAGAUGCAGAGCAACAGGAACUCUCAUUUGUUGCUGGUGGGGAUGCAAAGUGGUCCAGCCACUUUGGAAGACAGUUGGGCAGUUUCUAACAAAACUAAACAAACUCUUACCAGAUGACCCAGCAGCCGCAUUCCUGGUAUUUAUGCAAAGGAGUUGAAAACCUAAGUCCACACAAAAACCUGCUCACAAAUGUUUAUAGCAGCAGUAUUCAUAACUGGCAAGAUGCAGAAGCAACCAAGAUGUCCUUCAGAAGGUGAAUGAAUAAACUGUGGUACGACCAGACAAUGGAAUAGUAUUCAGCGCGAAAAAGAAAUGAGCUGUCAAGACAUGGAGGAAACUUAAAUGCAUGUUACUAAGUGAAAGGAGUCAAUCUGAAAAGGCUGCAUGUUUUACGAAGCCAACUCUAUGCCAUUCCGGAAAAGACAAAACUACGGAGACAGUGAAAAGCUCAGAGGUUGCCAGAAGUUGACGGGGUGGGUGGGGAGGGGUGAACGGGCGGAGGACAGAGGAUGUUCGGGGCAGUGAAAAGACUCUGAUAACGUAAUGACAGUCACGUGCCAUUGUACAUUUGUUUAAACCCACAGAAGGUUCACCACCAAGACGGAGCCCCAUGUAAACUGUGGGCUCAGGGUGACACCCAUGAGUCAGUGUGGCUCAUCAAACGUCCCACCGUGUGGGGGAUGCGGACAAUGGGGGGCUGCGCGUGUGUGAGGGCAGGGGUGUGUGGGAAAUCUCUGUUACCUUCUCCCCAUUUAGCUGUGAACCUAAAAAGCUCUAGAAAAUUAAGUCAAUAAAAAAGUAAAACAAA
ensembl:lncRNA